UACGUAGGGGGCAAGCGUUGUCCGGAAUUAUUGGGCGUAAAGAGCGUGUAGGCGGCCAUGUAGGUCCGGUGUGAAAACUCGAGGCUUAACCUCGAGAUGUCAUCGGAAACCAUUUGGCUAGAGUCCGGAAGAGGAGAGUGGAAUUCCUGGUGUAGCGGUGAAAUGCGCAGAUAUCAGGAAGAACACCAAUGGCGAAAGCAGCUCUCUGGGACGGUACUGACGCUGAGACGCGAAAGCGUGGGGAGCGAACAGG
rnacentral:rRNA from 1 species